CUAAUACAUGCAAGUCGAGCGGACAGAAGGGAGCUUGCUCCCGGAUGUUAGCGGCGGACGGGUGAGUAACACGUGGGUAACCUGCCUGUAAGACUGGGAUAACUCCGGGAAACCGGAGCUAAUACCGGAUAGUUCCUUGAACCGCAUGGUUCAAGGAUGAAAGACGGUUUCGGCUGUCACUUACAGAUGGACCCGCGGCGCAUUAGCUAGUUGGUGGGGUAAUGGCUCACCAAGGCGACGAUGCGUAGCCGACCUGAGAGGGUGAUCGGCCACACUGGGACUGAGACACGGCCCAGACUCCUACGGGAGGCAGCAGUAGGGAAUCUUCCGCAAUGGACGAAAGUCUGACGGAGCAACGCCGCGUGAGUGAUGAAGGUUUUCGGAUCGUAAAGCUCUGUUGUUAGGGAAGAACAAGUGCGAGAGUAACUGCUCGCACCUUGACGGUACCUAACCAGAAAGCCACGGCUAACUACGUGCCAGCAGCCGCGGUAAUACGUAGGUGGCAAGCGUUGUCCGGAAUUAUUGGGCGUAAAGGGCUCGCAGGCGGUUUCUUAAGUCUGAUGUGAAAGCCCCCGGCUCAACCGGGGAGGGUCAUUGGAAACUGGGAAACUUGAGUGCAGAAGAGGAGAGUGGAAUUCCACGUGUAGCGGUGAAAUGCGUAGAGAUGUGGAGGAACACCAGUGGCGAAGGCGACUCUCUGGUCUGUAACUGACGCUGAGGAGCGAAAGCGUGGGGAGCGAACAGGAUUAGAUAC
rnacentral:rRNA from 1 species